rnacentral:rRNA from 1 species
UACAGAGGUGGCAAGCGUUGUUCGGAAUUACUGGGCGUAAAGAGCGUGUAGGCGGCCCGGUAAGUCCGCUGUGAAAGUCCAGGGCUCAACCCUGGGAUGCCGGUGGAUACUGUCGGGCUCGAGUCCGGAAGAGGAGUGUGGAAUUCCUGGUGUAGCGGUGAAAUGCGCAGAUAUCAGGAAGAACACCUAUGGCGAAGGCAGCUCUCUGGGACGGUACUGACGCUGAGACGCGAAAGCGUGGGGAGCGAACAGG